AUGUCGGGAAGAUUAUCAUUCUUCGUUUUGUGGCUCUUGGCGCUUGUCUAUCAGCCCAAAAAUGCGGGACUUCAGGUGUUGAAGGAAAAUGGAACUUGUCGAAAUCUACGCUUAAUCGACACUUUUUUGCCUUUGAGUGUGCAUCCAGCGGAGCAAACAUGCCUUUGGAUUAAAUUGAGUAAUCAUGAGAAAAAGAUCAAUUUACAUGUACCAAAUAACGAAAAAUGCGGGGAAAAGGGACUUCAACAUCCUAAUUGGCAUAAUUCUAAAACUGAUAUCGGUGAUAACUUUGGCAGUUCAAGCCAGACCAUGAUCAACAAUGAAUUGAAAACGAGUAGCCAUGUGAGAAAUUUAAGCGCAAAGUCCUCUAAAAGCACUAGUAUUUUGGACAAAUCUUCAAAACAAGAAAUUGAGGGCGCAGGUCCGGUUUUGAAAACUAUAAGAAAUCCGCGAGUAAUCAGCAAGUGGGAAAGAGCCGAUGAAUGGUGCUUAAAUGCAGGCCAAAGUAAACCUGAGAAUAAAACAUGCGUAGGUCUCGAUGCAUCUUGGGGAAAGUCGCCAUCGCCUCCCCUCCAAAAAUUAAGACAGGAUUUCCCAGAGUGUGAUUUUGAGUCGAUAAAAAACGAAACCAUCGAAUCAUACAGUGCAAAUUCACGUUUAAAGACACAAUUCAAAAAAGAUCCCUCGGAAAUUGUGAGAAAAAAUGGCGGUAGGCAGCUCGGUGAAAAUCCGAAGGAGAAGUUAAUUUAUUUGAGUGGUGAAGACGACGAGGAGGUUGGAAAAAUCGAUAUGUAUGAGGAAUCUUCGGUAAACAAGGAGGACGAAUUGGAGGAACUUGCGCUAAAAGUCAGGAAAGGGGGAGAGGCAAAUGCAACCUCGGAGCCUGAGGAAUACGAUGACGACGAUGAAAAAGAUGAGCCGUGGCAACAGGAGCUGCAUCGGCUACCGUCGCAUGAAAGCAUCACCGGAGGAGAACCGAUCAGCAUCACGAAAAUGCCGUUUUUAGCCCUACUCAAGAUGGACAUCGGCUCUGGCACUUCCUACUGCACCUCCUCUAUCCUCACAGAAAAGUGGGUCCUCACUGCAGCUCAUUGCGUUGCUAGGAUCAGGAGACCUUCCGACGUUGAGGUUAGCAUGAAAUUUUUAUUACUCGUGUCUAGAUUUUAA
rnacentral:lncRNA from 1 species